rnacentral:rRNA from 1 species
GAGUGAUGAAGGCCUUCGGGUCGUAAAACUCUGUCCUCAAGGAAGAUAAUGACGGUACUUGAGGAGGAAGCCCCGGCUAACUACGUGCCAGCAGCCGCGGUAAUACGUAGGGGGCUAGCGUUAUCCGGAUUUACUGGGCGUAAAGGGUGCGUAGGCGGUCUUUCAAGUCAGGAGUGAAAGUCUACGGCUCAACCGUAGUAAGCUCUUGAAACUGGGAGACUUGAGUGCAGGAGAGGAGAGGGGAAUUCCUAGUGUAGCGGUGAAAUGCGUAGAUAUUAGGAGGAACACCAGUUUCGAAGGCGGCUCUCUGGACUGUAACCGACGCUGAGGCACGAACGCGUGGGGAGCAAACAGGAUUAGAUACCCUG